rnacentral:rRNA from 1 species
CCUACGGGAGGCAGCAGUGAGGAAUAUUGGUCAAUGGGCGCGAGCCUGAACCAGCCAAGUCGCGUGAGGGAAGACGGUCCUAUGGAUUGUAAACCUCUUUUGUCGGGGAGCAAAAGACGCCACGCGUGGCGUUCCGAGAGUACCCGAAGAAAAAGCAUCGGCUAACUCCGUGCCAGCAGCCGCGGUAAUACGGAGGAUGCGAGCGUUAUCCGGAUUUAUUGGGUUUAAAGGGUGCGCAGGCGGAAGAUCAAGCCAGCGGUAAAAUUGAGGGGCUCAACCUCUUCGAGCCGUUGAAACUGGUGUUCUUGAGUGAGCGAGAAGUAUGCGGAAUGCGUGGUGUAGCGGUGAAAUGCAUAGAUAUCACGCAGAACUCCGAUUGCGAAGGCAGCAUACCGGCGCUCAACUGACGCUCAGGCACGAAAGUGUGGGUAUCGAACAGGAUUAGAUACCCCGGUAGUC